AAACACACUCCAAACGCUCAGGUGUUCCAGCAGACAGCUCACGGUGUGUGAUGGCCUGAGUCGAGCCGGUAGCUGCAGGCUGCUCGACUACAGAAAAUUGAGUUUUCUUGAGAGAGAGGCGAGUGGGGCCUUAACGCUGAGACAGCUCCGUGCUGCAGUCUGCUCCAGCAAGCAUGAAGGAAGAAGCAGCACCAGAUGACGCAGGACUGUACAGUACAGAGAGUGAAGCGAAGGCUAUAAUUAGGAAACUACUUUAUUGUGAAGCCGGCAGUCUAAUGAAAGCAGCUGAUGGGACCAGCUGACUGCAUCUAUA